rnacentral:misc_RNA from 1 species
AGAAUGCUUCCUGUGCCCACAAAAGGGUCAUAGACAAGCUUUCCAGAUUUGACCUGUGCUUGGUUAGCCAUCAGGAACGCCAUUUCAGCAUCCAUGGCUGUUGGCCCGAGAUAAGUACGACUUUUUAACUGAUAAGUUGGCAAAAGCUUCCUAUCAGCAGUACCAAUCUCUCGACCAAAAAAAAUUCUUUUUCCCGAAAUGGGUGGCAAUCCAUUGUUAGAAUCAUAAUCAUCUGUUUCUAUGAGCCAGAACGUGUGAUAAGGAUUCUUUAAGUUGACCCGGCCCUUGAAAGGAAUGUAGGAUAGUGAUCGAAUACGUUCAGUUUGCUCCUCAAAGCUGAUAACCUUCCCAAAGGUCUCAACAGCAAUCUUGAAUGUGCUAUCAGAUGUCAGGUAUGGCAGUUUCUUCUCGUCUGGAUAACUUCUAAUCGACUCUUCUAAUUCCUCAAAGUUGCUUCCUUCUCCCCAGAGUUCAAAGAUCCCUUUUACAAGAAUACUACGGUUAGCAACACUUCGAGCAAUUUCUUCAGAAGGAAGAUUAACGAAGUGAAAAG